GAUCCUGGCUCAGGAUGAACGCUAGCUACAGGCUUAACACAUGCAAGUCAGGGGCAGCAUGAACUUAGCUUGCUAAGUUUGAUGGCGACCGGCGCACGGGUGAGUAACACGUAUCCAACCUUCCGUUUACUCAGGGAUAGCCUUUCGAAAGAAAGAUUAAUACCUGAUAGUAUGGUGAGAUUGCAUGAUAGCACCAUUAAAGAUUUAUUGGUAAACGAUGGGGAUGCGUUCCAUUAGGUAGUAGGCGGGGUAACGGCCCACCUAGCCGACGAUGGAUAGGGGUUCUGAGAGGAAGGUCCCCCACAUUGGAACUGAGACACGGUCCAAACUCCUACGGGAGGCAGCAGUGAGGAAUAUUGGUCAAUGGGCGAGAGCCUGAACCAGCCAAGUAGCGUGAAGGAUGAAGGUCCUACGGAUUGUAAACUUCUUUUAUACGGGAAUAAAGUAUCCUACGUGUAGGAUUUUGUAUGUACCGUAUGAAUAAGCAUCGGCUAACUCCGUG
rnacentral:rRNA from 1 species